CCACCUGAUCCCAUGCCGAACUCAGAAGUGAAACGACAUAUCGCCGAUGGUAGUGUGGGGUCUCCCCAUGUGAGAGUAGGUCAUCGUCAGGC
rnacentral:rRNA from 1 species